rnacentral:tRNA from 1 species
CGUCAAGAAGCUAUGUACCAGCACUAGCCUUUUAAGCUAGAAAAAGUGGGACUCCCCUCCCUCCUUGACGA